GACGAACGCUGGCGGCGUGCUUAACACAUGCAAGUCGAACGGUGAAGCGCCUUCCUUUUUGGUGGGUGUGGAUGAGUGGCGAACGGGUGAGUAACACGUGAGUAACCUGCCCCCUUCUUCUGGAUAACCGCAUGAAAGUGUGGCUAAUACGGGAUAUUCUGGGUCUGUCGCAUGAUGGGUCUGGGAAAGAUAUUGUUUCGGUGGGGGAUGGGCUCGCGGCCUAUCAGCUUGUUGGUGGGGUGAUGGCCUACCAAGGCGGUGACGGGUAGCCGGCCUGAGAGGGUGGACGGUCACACUGGGACUGAGACACGGCCCAGACUCCUACGGGAGGCAGCAGUGGGGAAUAUUGCACAAUGGGCGCAAGCCUGAUGCAGCGACGCCGCGUGAGGGAUGGAGGCCUUCGGGUUGUGAACCUCUUUCGCCAGUGAAGCAGGCCUGCCUCGUUUGUGGGUGGGUUGACGGUAGCUGGAUAAGAAACGCCGGCUAACUACGU
rnacentral:rRNA from 1 species